rnacentral:rRNA from 1 species
GACGAACGCUGGCGGCGUGCUUAACACAUGCAAGUCGAACGGAAAGGCCCUGCUUUUGUGCGGUGCUCGAUUGGCGAACGGGUGAGUAACACGUGAGUAACCUGCACUUGACUUUGGGAUAACUUCAGGAAACUGGGGCUCAUACCGGAUAGGAGCUCCUGCUGCAUGGGGGGGGUUGGAAAGUUUCGGCGGUUGGGGAUGGACUCGCGGCUUAUCAGCUAGUUGGUGGGGUAGUGGCUUACCAGGGCUUUGACGGGUAGCCGGCCUGAGAGGGUGGCCGGCCACAUGGGGACUGAGAUACGGCCCAGACGCCUACGGGAGGCAGCAGUGGGGAAUAUUGCACAAUGGGCGGAAGCCUGAUGCAGCAACGCCGCGUGCGGGAUGACGGCCUUCGGGUUAUAAACCGCUGUCGCCUGUGACGAAGCGUGAGUGACGGUAAUGGGUAAAGAAGCACCGGCUAACUACGUG